AUAACCGGCGAUUUCCGAAUGGGGAAACCCAGUGUGUUUCGACACACUAUCAUUAACUGAAUCCAUAGGUUAAUGAGGCGAACCGGGGGAACUGAAACAUCUAAGUACCCCGAGGAAAAGAAAUCAACCGAGAUUCCCCCAGUAGCGGCGAGCGAACGGGGAGGAGCCCAGAGCCUGAAUCAGUGUGUGUGUUAGUGGAAGCGUCUGGAAAGGCGUGCGAUACAGGGUGACAGCCCCGUACACAAAAAUGCACAUACUGUGAGCUCGAUGAGUAGGGCGGGACACGUGGUAUCCUGUCUGAAUAUGGGGGGACCAUCCUCCAAGGCUAAAUACUCCUGACUGACCGAUAGUGAACCAGUACCGUGAGGGAAAGGCGAAAAGAACCCCGGCGAGGGGAGUGAAAAAGAACCUGAAACCGUGUACGUACAAGCAGUGGGAGCCUCUUAAUGGGGUGACUGCGUACCUUUUGUAUAAUGGGUCAGCGACUUAUAUUCUGUAGCAAGGUUAACCGAAUAGGGGAGCCGAAGGGAAACCGAGUCUUAACUGGGCGUUAAGUUGCAGGGUAUAGACCCGAAACCCGGUGAUCUAGCCAUGGGCAGGUUGAAGGUUGGGUAACACUAACUGGAGGACCGAACCGACUAAUGUUGAAAAAUUAGCGGAUGACUUGUGGCUGGGGGGGAAAGGCCAAUCAAACCGGGAGAUAGCUGGUUCUCCCCGAAAGCUAUUUAGGUAGCGCCUCGUGAAUUCAUCUCCGGGGGUAGAGCACUGUUUCGGCAAGGGGGUCAUCCCGACUUACCAACCCGAUGCAAACUGCGAAUACCGGAGAAUGUUAUCACGGGAGACACACGGCGGGUGCUAACGUCCGUCGUGAAGAGGGAAACAACCCAGACCGCCAGCUAAGGUCCCAAAGUCAUGGUUAAGUGGGAAACGAUGUGGGAAGGCCCAGACAGCCAGGAUGUUGGCUUAGAAGCAGCCAUCAUUUAAAGAAAGCGUAAUAGCUCACUGGUCGAGUCGGCCUGCGCGGAAGAUGUAACGGGGCUAAACCAUGCACCGAAGCUGCGGCAGCGACACUAUGUGUUGUUGGGUAGGGGAGCGUUCUGUAAGCCUGUGAAGGUGGCCUGUGAGGGUUGCUGGAGGUAUCAGAAGUGCGAAUGCUGACAUAAGUAACGAUAAAGCGGGUGAAAAGCCCGCUCGCCGGAAGACCAAGGGUUCCUGUCCAACGUUAAUCGGGGCAGGGUGAGUCGACCCCUAAGGCGAGGCCGAAAGGCGUAGUCGAUGGGAAACAGGUUAAUAUUCCUGUACUUGGUGUUACUGCGAAGGGGGGACGGAGAAGGCUAUGUUGGCCGGGCGACGGUUGUCCCGGUUUAAGCGUGUAGGCUGGUUUUCCAGGCAAAUCCGGAAAAUCAAGGCUGAGGCGUGAUGACGAGGCACUACGGUGCUGAAGCGACAAAUGCCCUGCUUCCAGGAAAAGCCUCUAAGCAUCAGGUAACAUCAAAUCGUACCCCAAACCGACACAGGUGGUCAGGUAGAGAAUACCAAGGCGCUUGAGAGAACUCGGGUGAAGGAACUAGGCAAAAUGGUGCCGUAACUUCGGGAGAAGGCACGCUGAUAUGUAGGUGAAGCGACUUGCUCGUGGAGCUGAAAUCAGUCGAAGAUACCAGCUGGCUGCAACUGUUUAUUAAAAACACAGCACUGUGCAAACACGAAAGUGGACGUAUACGGUGUGACGCCUGCCCGGUGCCGGAAGGUUAAUUGAUGGGGUUAGCGGUAACGCGAAGCUCUUGAUCGAAGCCCCGGUAAACGGCGGCCGUAACUAUAACGGUCCUAAGGUAGCGAAAUUCCUUGUCGGGUAAGUUCCGACCUGCACGAAUGGCGUAAUGAUGGCCAGGCUGUCUCCACCCGAGACUCAGUGAAAUUGAACUCGCUGUGAAGAUGCAGUGUACCCGCGGCAAGACGGAAAGACCCCGUGAACCUUUACUAUAGCUUGACACUGAACAUUGAGCCUUGAUGUGUAGGAUAGGUGGGAGGCUUUGAAGUGUGGACGCCAGUCUGCAUGGAGCCGACCUUGAAAUACCACCCUUUAAUGUUUGAUGUUCUAACGUUGGCCCCUAAUCGGGGUUGCGGACAGUGUCUGGUGGGUAGUUUGACUGGGGCGGUCUCCUCCUAAAGAGUAACGGAGGAGCACGAAGGUUGGCUAAUCCUGGUCGGACAUCAGGAGGUUAGUGCAAUGGCAUAAGCCAGCUUGACUGCGAGCGUGACGGCGCGAGCAGGUGCGAAAGCAGGUCAUAGUGAUCCGGUGGUUCUGAAUGGAAGGGCCAUCGCUCAACGGAUAAAAGGUACUCCGGGGAUAACAGGCUGAUACCGCCCAAGAGUUCAUAUCGACGGCGGUGUUUGGCACCUCGAUGUCGGCUCAUCACAUCCUGGGGCUGAAGUAGGUCCCAAGGGUAUGGCUGUUCGCCAUUUAAAGUGGUACGCGAGCUGGGUUUAGAACGUCGUGAGACAGUUCGGUCCCUAUCUGCCGUGGGCGCUGGAGAACUGAGGGGGGCUGCUCCUAGUACGAGAGGACCGGAGUGGACGCAUCACUGGUGUUCGGGUUGUCAUGCCAAUGGCACUGCCCGGUAGCUAAAUGCGGAAGAGAUAAGUGCUGAAAGCAUCUAAGCACGAAACUUGCCCCGAGAUGAGUUCUCCCUGACUCCUUGAGAGUCCUGAAGGAACGUUGAAGACGACGACGUUGAUAGGCCGGGUGUGUAAGCGCAGCGAUGCGUUGAGCUAACCGGUACUAAUGAACCGUGAGGCUUAACCUU
rnacentral:rRNA from 1 species